rnacentral:rRNA from 1 species
UACGUAGGUGGCAAGCGUUAUCCGGAAUUAUUGGGCGUAAAGCGCGCGCAGGUGGUUUCUUAAGUCUGAUGUGAAAGCCCACGGCUCAACCGUGGAGGGUCAUUGGAAACUGGGAGACUUGAGUGCAGAAGAGAAAAGUGGAAUUCCAUGUGUAGCGGUGAAAUGCGUAGAGAUAUGGAGGAACACCAGUGGCGAAGGCGACUUUCUGGUCUGUAACUGACACUGAGGCGCGAAAGCGUGGGGAGCGAACAGG